rnacentral:rRNA from 1 species
AGUGAACGCUGGCGGUAGGCCUAACACAUGCAAGUCGAACGGCAGCACAGUAAGAGCUUGCUCUUACGGGUGGCGAGUGGCGGACGGGUGAGGAAUACAUCGGAAUCUACUUUUUCGUGGGGGAUAACGUAGGGAAACUUACGCUAAUACCGCAUACGACCUACGGGUGAAAGCAGGGGAUCUUCGGACCUUGCGCGAUUGAAUGAGCCGAUGUCGGAUUAGCUAGUUGGCGGGGUAAAGGCCCACCAAGGCGACGAUCCGUAGCUGGUCUGAGAGGAUGAUCAGCCACACUGGAACUGAGACACGGUCCAGGCUCCUACGGGAGGCAGCAGUGGGGAAUAUUGGACAAUGGGCGCAAGCCUGAUCCAGCCAUACCGCGUGGGUGAAGAAGGCCUUCGGGUUAUAAAGCCCUUUUGUUGGGAAAGAAAAGCAGCAGGUUAAUACCCCGCUGUUCUGACGGUACCCAAAGAAUAAGCACCGGCUAACUUCGUG